AGAGUUUGAUCCUGGCUCAGAUUGAACGCUGGCGGCAUGCCUAACACAAGCAAGUCGAACGGUAACAGGAUGUGCUUGCACAUCGCUGACGAGUGGCGGACGGGUGAGUAAUGCUUGGGAACUUGCCUUUGCGAGGGGGAUAACAGUUGGAAACGACUGCUAAUACCGCAUAAUGUCUAUGGACCAAAGGGGGCUUCGGCUCUCGCGUGAAGAGAGGCCCAAGUGAGAUUAGCUAGUUGGUGAGGUAAAGGCUCACCAAGGCGACGAUCUCUAGCUGUUCUGAGAGGAAGAUCAGCCACACUGGGACUGAGACACGGCCCAGACUCCUACGGGAGGCAGCAGUGGGGAAUAUUGCACAAUGGGGGAAACCCUGAUGCAGCCAUGCCGCGUGUGUGAAGAAGGCCUUCGGGUUGUAAAGCACUUUCAGUUGUGAGGAAAGGUUGGUAGUUAAUACCUGCCAGCUGUGACGUUAACAACAGAAGAAGCACCGGCUAACUCCGUGCCAGCAGCCGCGGUAAUACGGAGGGUGCGAGCGUUAAUCGGAAUUACUGGGCGUAAAGCGCACGCAGGCGGUUUGUUAAGCUAGAUGUGAAAGCCCCGGGCUCAACCUGGGAUGGUCAUUUAGAACUGGCAGACUAGAGUCUUGGAGAGGGGAGUGGAAUUCCAGGUGUAGCGGUGAAAUGCGUAGAGAUCUGGAGGAACAUCAGUGGCGAAGGCGACUCCCUGGCCAAAGACUGACGCUCAUGUGCGAAAGUGUGGGUAGCGAACAGGAUUAGAUACCCUGGUAGUCCACACCGUAAACGCUGUCUACUA
rnacentral:rRNA from 1 species